rnacentral:rRNA from 1 species
CAGUCGCCGCGGGAAUACGUAGGUGGCAAGCGUUGUCCGGAAUUAUUGGGCGUAAAGGGCUCGCAGGCGGUUUCUUAAGUCUGAUGUGAAAGCCCCCGGCUCAACCGGGGAGGGUCAUUGGAAACUGGGAAACUUGAGUGCAGAAGAGGAGAGUGGAAUUCCACGUGUAGCGGUGAAAUGCGUAGAGAUGUGGAGGAACACCAGUGGCGAAGGCGACUCCCUGGUCUGUAACUGACGCUGAGGAGCGAAAGCGUGGGGAGCGAACAGGAUUAGAUACCCCGGUAGUCCCUGUCUCUUAUAC